rnacentral:rRNA from 1 species
GACGAACGCUGGCGGCGUGCUUAACACAUGCAAGUCGAACGCUGAAGCCUGGUGUUUGCACUGGGUGGAUGAGAGGCGAACGGGUGAGUAAUAUGUGAUCAACCUGACCUUGACUCUGGGAUAAGCCUGGGAAACUGUGUCUAAUACUGGAUAUGACAUGCCACUGGAUGGUGGUGUGGGGAAAGGGGUUUGCUGGUUUUGGAUGGGCCCACGGCGUAUCAGCUUGUUGGGGGGGUAAAGGCCUACCAAGGCGACGAGGGGUCGCCGGCCUGGGAGGGUGGGCGGCCCCGCCACGACUGGAACGCGGCCCAGCCUCCUCCGGGAGGCAGCGGUGGAGAUUGUUGCACAGGGGGCGGAAGCCUGAUGCGGCGACGCCGCGUGGGGGAUGACGGCCUUCGGGUAGUAUUCCUCUUUCAGCGCGGAAGAAGCGAGAGUGACGGUACGGGCAGAAGAAGCGCCGGCUAACUACGUG